UGUAAUAAGAGCAUUUAUCCCCUUGUGUUCAACACCCUUCUGCCUGACACCAGAGUGAUCUGAGUCAUAUAACCUCCCCUUGCGGUGGGGAACUGAGGUUUUGAUGGUAGAACAGGCACAGUGAAAAUCAGAAGCUUGCAGGAAAUAUCUAUUGUAAAGAUCAGAAAAAUUGGUAUUCCCAGCAUUCCCUGAUUCCUGCUAAAUAUUGUUGGGUGCAGUCACACAAGGUACUGAGUGUGGCCCAUCCUCCCAAAACUCAUCUGUCCCACCAAGUAUCUCCUUUUCUCCUUCCAUCCCCUCUCGGUUUCAAAACACCCAACACUCCAUGAGCAGAGAGGCAAAAAGUGCCAGUGCUUAACAGCUAUGGAAACCGCUCUGGUUUUGCACAAAUAACACUUUUCUUAUUGAAGCCUGUGCACAAAGCUUCUGAGAAGGAUGUAGGUGCCACUGGGCAUUACAGGUUAAAAGUACUACAACAGCCAGCAAUAAAUACAUGGCAGGUGUUUGUUAACAAGGCACUAAUUGGGUAACUGGAGGUGCAGCAUAAAAGACCACAGAGGCCAAUUGAGAAGCUUUAGGUGAAUCUCAGAUGUUCCUCUGGGCUUGGGGAAUAGGAGGAGGUAGAGUUGCUGUGGGUUUGUGUUUUAUGGAAAAGCUGGUGCUAAGGUGUCUCAAAAGAGACAGCCUGUUCUAUCUUGUGCAUGAAACUGUGUGACAAAAUCAGUUCAGAAUUUAAUUUAAGGAUUAUGACUCUCUUUUCCUCGGUUGGAGUGCUUUUACUUUGGCUUUGGUAACUUGAUCUUAAAUUGUUCUGAUUAGAUUUCACUGUACCUCCUAAGGGGGUUAUUCAAACUGAGUCAGCCUGUGCCUGUUUGGCUAAACCAUUAUCUAAACUCAUUGCCUUGCAUAAAGAAGGCUUUAGGGAUCCCAAAAUAUGUUUGCUUUCCUAAUCCCUUGGAGGAUGCAGCAGGGUUCUUCAAGCACAAGUGUGGAGACCUACAGUUUUGAUGUACCCUCCAUCAUCGUGCUCCUGACAGUGGAUUUGCAGCGAGGCUCAAACUCCAGCAUGGAACUUAUGCACAUUCACUGUGAGCACAGAAGUUUGGGGAGUCUUUAAUAAUUCCCUGGAAGGCUCCUGCUGAAACAGAGUUACUCCAGACCUCAAAGCCUUCCUUUUUGGAAAGAAGAAAUGCUAAGAUUGUGUAUGUCUUUCUCUUUAGUCUAUACCAGAUACAAAUAACCACUCAUGCUUAUUUCGUGUUUUGAGACAAUGAUUAAUAAAAGGGUUGGGCAGGGGGUAGCA
rnacentral:lncRNA from 1 species